AGUGAACGCUGGCGGUAGGCCUAACACAUGCAAGUCGAACGGCAGCACAGUAAGAGCUUGCUCUUACGGGUGGCGAGUGGCGGACGGGUGAGGAAUACAUCGGAAUCUACUUUUUCGUGGGGGUUAACGUAGGGAAACUUACGCUAAUACCGCAUACGACCUACGGGUGAAAGCAGGGGAUCUUCGGACCUUGCGCGAUUGAAUGAGCCGAUGUCGGAUUAGCUAGUUGGCGGGGUAAAGGCCCACCCAGGCGACGAUCCGUAGCUGGUCUGAGAGGACGGUCAGCCACACUGGAACUGAGACACGGUCCAGACUCCUACGGGAGGCAGCAGUGGGGAAUAUGGGACAAUAGGCGGAAGCCUGAUCCAGCCAUACCGCGUGGGUGAAGAAGGCCUUCGGGGUGUAAAGCCCUUUUGUUGGGAAAGAAAAGCAGCAGGUUAAUACCCCGCUGUUCUGACGGUACCCAAAGAAUAAGCACCGGCUAACUUCGUG
rnacentral:rRNA from 1 species